AGGAAGACUUCAAUAUAUUUUGUUGUCUUGAAUUACACUUGAGUACAUAGUUCUAUUUGGCAUAUAUGCUCUACUUGGCACAAGUCUUCCACAUCCCCUGCUUUCGUCCGGUUAUAUCACAUAUCUAAACCUGGCCUCAGGCUGGGAUGAAGAUGAGUUGGAAGCAUACGCUCUAUUGCCAAAGCAACUAGAUUUGUUCAGAUACCAAGGGGAAUUCACUCGCCUUUCACAGUUCAUCAACAAAACCAAGGUUUCUGCGAUUCCAUAGGACUCAUGAUAAUAUGGAAUAUUGUCCGAAAUACCAAAAUAAGGAGGGAUGGAGGACAAAUUAUCCUUCUGAAUAUCUGAGUCUACAACUCGGAUUGUUCUGGAAGUGUAAUUGAUUUCCUGUACGUAGUGUUCUACGGACAAUAAGUAUAACGCAGUUUGGUUGUCCUGAAAAGACAGGGUAUACCUUGGGUUGCCGCAGUUUGGAGGAUCGUUUUAAAAUCGAAAUGGAGAGCUUAUGUUGGGGAUACUACCGCAGGAAGAAGGAACACAGUCCGGAUUUGUAUCCUGAGCACUGCAAGUUUGAUGAAGAAGUAGCACAACUAGAACGAUAAGGGCCAUGAGUCCUGCAGAAAGGGACACACCUUUCUUCACUGUGGGAGAGAGAGAGUGAGAGUAUAGGGCAUAGCUUCCACAGCUGUGAACAAACAAUAUUAUAGAAGUGUACACAUGCGUCACAUGAUUCCAAUAAUUAUGCAGCUGCGUCACUAAAUUAUUAGUUUUAUAUUGAAAUUAAUUGGACUACAUUUAUUUAUAUUUUUUCCGAUCAUUGCGUCAAUAAAUUUGAGUAUACAGCAAAGAUAGUGUGAUUGUUUGCCUUUUAGUCACGGCAGGCUGAUAAAACAGAUCGGACAAUUAAGUAUUUGCUCGAUCGUAAUAAGAAUGGCAAAGUCAUAUUUCUUCUUGUUUGUGGUUUUCAUCUUACACCACGUCCGAUGCGAACAUGAUGAUUGUGCUGAUUCAUUUCGGUGUGGCGGCCACGGCCCGCCAUCCGAUUUCCUUUCCGACUCAAAGACUGCCACCCGGACCGCUGUGGUUUUCUUGGGUUUCAUUUGUCCUGCUCCGAUACACACGAUUAAGUGCUCCAGCUGCCAAUUUCAGUCAAGCUUUUUAUCAAAAAGAUUGACUACAGAUCUCAGGAAUUUCACGUAUAUCAUCCUGAUCGUUGCUUUUCCAAGAGGAAUCCGGCGACUCAAUAUAUCUUCCUCUCCUUUCCAAUUCACAGGAGUCGAUCAAUACUUUUAUGACUUAGCCUUUUUCAACUGUUCCCAUAGUACUAAAGGAGAAAAACACAGUGAUUGGCGUGCGGUUUCUUGUCAUAAUGACCCUACCUAUAGCCACCAAGUUUAUGCCUUGAGAACUGAUAAAGACAUCAGCUUGUUGCCCACACUACCUUGUAGAAAGAUGUAUAGUGUUAGAUCAAUUCCAAGUCCUAUUGUAUAUAAUCCUGAUGAAAUCCUUUAUUUGAACUGGUCUAGACCAUCUUGCAGAAACUGUGAACUGAAGGCAGGAAUUGUAGGUCGAUGAAUAUUAAUAGCAGCAGUACCGAGUCAGAAAUUCAGUGCUUCCCCAAACACAACAAAGAAUAGAACGAGAAUGUGAUGAUUAUAUAUGUCAACAAAAGUAGUGAUCACCAUUGGUGCCAUUUUAGGUCCAACUCUUUUACUACUGCUGGCCUUCGCACUUUAUCGUGUCUAUAGUAAAGACAAAGCAGAAAAAGAAUAUCGGAAGAAGAUUGAAAAUUUCUUGGACGAUUACAGAAGCUACAAGCCCACGAGAUACUUGUACGCUGAUCUUAAAAGAAUUACAAAUCAGUUUACUGAGAAAUUGGGCGAAGGAGCCUAUGGAACAGUGUUCAGAGGAAAACUUUCUAUUGAAAUCCACGUUGCCGUGAAGAUCUUGAACAGUUCUAGGGGAAAUGGAGAAGAAUUCAUAAAUGAAGUUGGAAUAAUGGGUAGAAUCCAUCAUGUCAAUGUGGUUCGCUUGGUUGGAUUUUGUGCUGAUGGAUUGGGGAGCCCUUUAUGCUAAUUAAGAGGCAUCAGAAAAUAGAAAAAUUUCUCUCUUAAAGUAGCAUUCAUCGUUUACUUGAUAAGAAAUCGGAUCCUGCAGUGUUUACUCAAACCCGUAUGGCUUUUUCAGCAAAAGCGACGUUGUUCGCUGAACUCGAAGAUGCCGCACUUUCCACAAUCUGUAGGGGUCAUCCAAGAAAGCUCAAAACCGUAUAGCAAUAGGUUGUGUAAGUCUCUGUGCAGGAAAUUCUACGUGGGUCUUCUGGUACCAGAUUGCGGACUGACCACGAUGUCUGGAAUAUAUGCUCUACUUGGCACAAGUCCUCCACAUCCCCUGCGUUCAUCUGGCUAUAUAUCACAUAUCUAAACCCGGCCUCAGGCUGGGAUGAAGAUGAGUUGGAAGCAUACGCUCUAUUGCCAAAGCAAGUAGAUGUGUUCAGAUACCCUGGGGAAUUCACUCGCUUUUCACAGUUCAACAAAACCAUGGUUUCUCUGAUUCCCCACUUCCGCUAAUAUGGAGUAUAAUUCCAUAAAUAUUCAGAAGGGAUGUAGGAGUUGUUAUCCUUCUGAAUACCUCUGUCUACAACUCGGAUUGUUUGGGAAGUGUAAUUGAUUUCCUGUACGUAGUGUUCUACGGACAAUAAAUAUAACACAGUUUGGUUGUCCUGACAUGACAGGAUAUAUCUUAGGUUGCCGCAGUUGGAGGAUCGUGUUCCAAUCGAAAUGGAGAGCUAAUGUUGGGAAUACUGCCGCAGGAAGAAGGAACACAGUGGCGAUUUGUAUCCUUGGCACUGCAAGUUUGAUGAAGAACUAGCGCACAACUAGAACGAUAAGGGCCACAAGUCCUGCAGAAAGGGACACACCUCUCUUCAUUCCAAUUACUGGGAGAGAGAGAGAGAGAGAGAGAGAGAGAGAGAGAGAGAUUUUAGCGCAUAGGUUCCACAGCUGUGAAGAAACAAUAUUUAAGUAGUGAGAAAUGAUCUUUACAAGUUCUAAAUAUACAA